rnacentral:lncRNA from 1 species
CAGCUCCGCCCCGCGCCGGGCUCUAGCUGUUUCCCUCAGGCGGCCUGUUCCACGCCAGGAUUAGUUUUGCUUCGCAGAUGGGCCGUGGUGGUGAGAGGAAGCAAUCAGUAUGGAAAUGGAGAAAUGGCUUACCAUGCAUGUCCUUCUCCCCAGGAGGGAGGUCGUGGUGCAGGCGAGCAGACGCCAGACUCCUGGACACUUGCCGCCUGCGUUAUGGAGGCUUAGCUAAUAACCUUGCAGGGGUCUUCAGGCUUUUCCACUGGCUCACCUUUAGGCUUCUGACACUUUUACCUACGAUAAUGCAGUAGUUACUUUUUGAAGGACGACCGAAGCAGGAUAUUUCCCUGACCCCUUCAUGGGACCCACGUCAGAGGUGUUUACUCAGCCUGCUGCCCACAACUCCUCACAGGAGGGAGCGCACAAGUGAACGAGGGUGAGGACUGGAGAGCACCAGCACUGGAACAACCCGGCCACUUCGGCGCUACUGGGAUCAAACUCCAUCACUUGGACACACUGUGUUCCACCCCUCGUGGGAGGGAGCAUGCAGGUGAGAGGAUGCAGGAGUCAGGGUGAGCACUUUUGGGCUCCAGCAGGAGCAAACUCUGUGCAGGGCCCUGCAGCAGUGACUGAGGGGCGGCCUGUGACUCCCAAAGCCCCAGAGGACAUGCUACAGUGCUCUUUUAGCUCUACCAUCCGUAGGUGGCUUAAGUGUAAACAGCUCAGUGGGCCCUUUGCCUUUUUGCGUGAGGCAGCUGCCCUAGGCAAGAGUAAAGGGCCAGUGUCACAGCCUUCUGUAUCUGCACUCAUGACUCCUGAGCUCUUGUCCUGCAUUCAGGGAAAAUGAGGUUACACAAAAGAAUUCACAGAUGGUAAAUGCGGGGUAUUUUAUUCCCAGUGAAAGUGGCUCUCAGCAGGAAGGAGAGCAGAAAAGGGGAUGGGCUGGGUAGGUAACCUUCCCCUGAAGUCCUGCCAUCUCUGGCUGGAUUUUUCUCCAAAGUUACACCAUCAAAAUGUCCCUCUGAAAUCAAGCCACUUCUCUCUGACAUCCAGCCGUAGUCCCUCACGUCCAGUUGCUUCUCCUCUCUGCUGGCUGAGUCUGUGGUCUUUAUAGCACAGGAUGGCGGGCAGGGUGGGCCAUGGGUAAUUUAGGAAAAAGCAACAUUUGAGCAGACAAAAGGGAGAGAAGUUCUCUACUUUGGGCUGCGGUUUCAGGCUUUUUGGCUUGAGGGUGGGGUUUUGUCAGGGACCCUCCCUUUUCUGCCUAAAAUUUCUCUGCCUCCUGCCUCUAUCACUGUAUCACUAGUUUGAAGUAAACCCAUCUGGAAUUACUGAUUUUAACAAAUCACACAGAAUUUCAAGCACCUUUCUAUGCAAAUGACUUGUGAAGACAUAGAGUAUAGUAUGCCGUUAACAAACAGCCCAGCAGUGUGCCUUGCACCUUGUAGGUGUACAAAAUAUUAAGUCAAUUUUAUAAUUGAAGGAGGUAAUUUUAAAAUGCUACAUCCAUGUUGUGUAAUUUUAUUCAUUGGUCAUUUUAAAUAAAAACAAAAGCCAGAAUAAACCAUAUAUAUUGUACUUGUUAGUUUAUUCAAGGAAAUUUAGGUCAAAAGAAGCACACCUCCUUGUGGUUAGUUAUUCCAACUGCAAAUCAUUCACCUUAAAAUGAAAGAACAUGGCUAUAGGAGCUUUUUGCAAAUAUGUUCUUCACUGAUGAUUUUCUAAAAUGUAUAUAUCAAAUCCCCCAG